rnacentral:rRNA from 1 species
UACAGAGGGGGCUAGCGUUGCUCGGAAUCACUGGGCGUAAAGGGCGCGUAGGCGGAUCUUUAAGUCGGGGGUGAAAGCCCAGGGCUCAACCCUGGAAUUGCCUUCGAUACUGAAGAUCUCGAGACCGGAAGAGGUAAGUGGAACUGCGAGUGUAGAGGUGAAAUUCGUAGAUAUUCGCAAGAACACCAGUGGCGAAGGCGGCUUACUGGUCCGGUUCCGACGCUGAGACGCGAAAGCGUGGGGAGCAAACAGG